rnacentral:rRNA from 1 species
AGGGAGCUUUUCAAUGCUGUCUCCAGCGUUAGCUGGUCCGUGUCUCUCUCCCAACGAGAGUGGGUCGCGGGUGUGUAGUAUAUCGGUCUGUGCGAGUAGCGGGGGAUAACUUGUCGAAGGAGUGGCUUAUACCGCAUACGCCCUACGGCAGAAAGGGGGGGAUCGCAAGACCUCUCACUAUUGGAGCGGCCGAUAUCGGAUUAGCUAGUUGGUGGGGUAAAGGCUCACCAAGGCAACGAUCCGUAGCUGGUUUGAGAGGACGACCAGCCACACUGGGACUGAAACACGGCCCAAACUCCUACGGAAGGCAGCAGUGGGAAAUUUUGGACAAUGGGGGAAACCCUGAUCCAGCCAUCCCGCGUGUAUGAUGAAGGCCUUCGGGUUGUAAAGUACUUUUGGCAGAAAAGAAAAGGUAUCUCCUAAUACGAGAUACUGCUGACGGUAUCUGCAGAAUAAGCACCGGCUAACUACGUGCCAGCAGCCGCGGUAAUACGUAGGGUGCAAGCGUUAAUCGAAAUUACUGGGCGUAAAGCGUGUGUAGGCGGUUCGGAAAGAAAGAUGUGAAAUCCCAGGGCUCAACCUUGAAACUGCAUUUUUAACUGCCGAGCUAGAGUAUGUCAGAGGGGGGGUAGAAUUCCACGUGUAGCAGUGAAAUGCGUAGAUAUGUGAGAGGAAUACCGAUGGCGAAGGCAGCCCCCUGGGAUAAUACUGACGCUCAGACACGAAAGCGUGGGGGAGCAAACAGGAUUAGAUACCCUGAAGUCCACGCCCUAAAACGAUGUCAACUAGAUGUGGGGCCGUGAGGACUUAGUAUCGCAGCUAACGCGUGAAGUCGACCGCCUGGGGAGUACGGUCGCAAGAUAAAACUCAAUGAUGACGGGGACCCGCACAGCGGUGAUGAUGUGGAUAUCGAUGCACCGCGAAAACUACCUACUCUGACAUGUCUAGAAGUCGAGAGAUUCGUCGUGCUCUCAGGAAAUCGGAACCAGGUGCUGCAUGGCUUGUCCUCAGCUUCGGUGUCUGAGAAGUGGGUAGUCCCGCAACAGGCACCUGGCAUUAGUGGCACAAUGACCUCAUCG